rnacentral:lncRNA from 1 species
GGUGUUGUGUUCUUUUAACUGGAUGAAACAUGCAGUCCACUAAAGCAACUUAUUGUAUACGAUACUACGAACUUUAUGAACUACGUCAAAUAAUCGACAAAAUCAUUAAUAAUAAAUAUGUUAAAAAGGAUGAUCACAAUAAAUACCGGAAAUCGGUGGUUUGAAGUCCAAGACCGAAUGAUAUAUAGAAUCCUCGGGAUCUAUGAGUUUAUGGUCUAACAACAACAAGAACUCACAACAACAAAAAUUGCCAUAUGGUUUAGGCCAUCCAUCUAAUUUCUUUUAAUGUAUUUUUAUCUUUUUAUCUUAAGUUUGAUUAAAAAUACGUAUAAGAAAAACAAUAUUUAUUUCAUGAAUUAUGGUAACUUAAAAUUCUUUUAGCAUAAUUAUCUUGGUUUAACGGUGCUUUUUGGAAAUAAUUUGGGUUGGUGAUACCUUUUCUUAUAAACCCUGGCUAAUGUUUUGACGAGUUGAGCGAAUUGGAAGGCAAAUAAUUAUAUCUUUCACCCACACAUACUCUCCAGUGAACAUUUCUAUAUUAAAUUAAUAAGAGCUAAAUACAUUUAUGAUUCAUUCAUAUUACGAUUCUCACAUAUGGACAAGUA